AAAUUGCGGAAGCAUGUAUGGAGGAUGUGUUGGAAUAUUAUAGCUUAUGGAAAAAAUUUCAAGCCUGUCAGGUUGUUCUCUUGAAUCAGGUGACUACUAAAUAUUCAGACGGUUCAUUUCAUUUAACCCUCGCACUAGCAUCAGCACCUUAUUCUGUGACAGGAAAAGGGAUCCAAGAUUCUGCUUCAAACUAUAAAAGAAUCAAAAUGAUGUAAGUUUCUAGUUAGAUUGAGCAUUGCCCUAAUUUGCUCCCUAAUUCUCAAGCUUUUUGAAAUCAUUGAGAUUAUACAAAAAAAAUUGUAUGAGGUUUUGGGUUUUGUAUUUGUUGGUUCUUAGCCGGUGCAUUUUUGAGAAACAAUCUCUGUGUUCCUAGUGAUCUAUGGAGUCAUGGACAAUCUUUUAUACAUUUUUAUUCGCAAUAGAUUGCAUAACAUGCCUUGUUAUCGAAAACAUAUUAUUGUAAUGCAUGACAUCAACUAACAAUGUAUAUAUAUCAUUUGGCAAUUGAUAAAAUGGAUAUUAUCAUUUGGCAAAUAAGAUUAGCUGUUCAUUUUUGUUCAGAAACUUGUUUUUGAACUCUCUUUUUCCUUAGACUCUGCUUGGUUGUGGAUUUGUAAAGGAAAAGAAAAGAAAAGGGAAGAUAGAAAUGAAGUGAGCUAAUUUUUUUCUCCUCUAGCUCAAAUAUGUCCUAUUCCCAUUUGGCUAGGUUAGUUGUUUGACAUAUCAU